rnacentral:rRNA from 1 species
UACGUAGGGGGCGAGCGUUAUCCGGAAUUACUGGGCGUAAAGCGCACGCAGGCGGACCGCCAAGUUUGGCGUGACAGUUGUCGGCUCAACCGACAAAGGACUUCAAAAACUGGUGAACUUGAGGACGAGAGAGGAACAUGGAACUCCAGGUGUAGUAGUGAAAUGCGUAGAUAUCUGGAAGAACACCAAUGGCGAAGGCAAUGUUCUGGCUCGUUUCUGACGCUCAGGUGCGAAAGCCAGGGGAGCGAACGGG